rnacentral:lncRNA from 1 species
GGAAAUGAAAGCAAAACUUUAAGGGUUGAGGUGGGGAGACAGAGCUCAUAUAGCUAUUGCAUUAAACUUUCCUUUUGGCAUUUUUAUUACUUCUGAAAGCAUUACUAAGAAUCCUUGUUUGCCAUACUAUGCAACUUUUAAAUUUCAACAUUGCCGAAAGCGUCAUCAUCCCUGCAAUCUUUUGCUAAAACAGUCUUAGAGGGCUAAGCCAUAAAUAGGUGUUUCAUGUCUUCAGGUGUGGAGGGAGCAGUCCAUCCAUGCUCUAUACACGGAAGUAGGUGCGGGAACAGCAAGAAUGGUUUUGCUAUCAGCUCACAAACAGAAGCAUGAAUUUAAAAGCAUGCCUUCAGAUAAUAAAACAGACUAAGUUAAGGCUUGUAAUUAGAUUACAAGAGAAAAGAUGCUGUGAUUUAAAAACGCAGCAGGCGCACCCAGUUUGGAGCAGGACCCCCUCUCAGUAUUCGCUUGACUUCUGCUCUAACGCUGCUUUGUUCUGCGUUUUAAGCCAAAGGCAGAAAUCCCCCGCACGGUGCCGACUUCAGGCCGCCGCUUCCUGGGGCAAAUCGCAAUGGCCAAUUCCAGCCGUGAAUCCAGGGAUCCUCACUGUUUCCCUAUCAACACCCACCGCCACCAGCGCUGCUGGCGCCCCAGGGCUGGGUCCCUUUCCCGGACCACACACGCGUUUGGAGCAGCUCCCCCCGUGUGGAACGAUCGCGUUCCAGCCCGGCCCCAGCGCCCUGAGGGAGAUCGCGGCCGCAGUCCGCGGCUCCAUGGCGAACCACACGGGGAGCACACGCACGGCCCCAGACCGGCCCCGCACUCACCGCCCGCCGCCGCUCCCGGCGCUUCCCGCGCCCCUUCCCGGCGCUCCCCGCCCGCCGCGGCCCCGCCCCGCUACGGCGGCCGGGCGGGCCAGCCCGCGCAGGGCUCGGAGCGCGGAGCGGGCCCCGCCUGCCCGGGGGCUCUGGGGAGCCUCGCCCGACCCCCGAGGCCUCGCGGGGGAUGAGCCGGCACCUUCACGGAGAUGCGAGGGUUUUUAUGUCUUGCUUAGAAUUCCACACAAAAUAACACCCCAUCGGAGAGAAAUCUUACAGGAAAAAGAUAUCUUGUGGAAAAAAGCCCCACAGGAUCAAGGCACGGUGAGCACCUCACAGGCGUCGGGUCCAGGACCAGACAGGAAAGUGCUGAGCGUCAUUUCACAGAGGAAUCGGUGA